rnacentral:rRNA from 1 species
AUUGAACGCUGGCGGCAGGCCUAACACAUGCAAGUCGAACGAGUGGCGGACGGGUGAGUAAUGUCUGGGAAACUGCCUGAUGGCGGGGGAUAACUACUGGAAACGGUAGCUAAUACCGCAUACCAUCAGAUGUUCCCAGAUGGGAUUAGCUAGUUGGUGGGGUAACGGCUCACCAAGGCGACGAUCCCUAGCUGGUCUGAGAGGAUGACCAGCCACACGGGAACUGAGACACGGCCCAGACGCCGCCGGUAGGCAGCAGUGGGGAAUAUGGCACAAUGGGCGCAAGCCGGAUGCAGCCAUGCCGCGUGUAUGAAGAAGGCUUUCGGGUUGUAAAGUACUUUCAGUGGGGAGGCGUUACCGGCAGAAGAAGCACCGGCUAACUCCGUGCCAGCAGCCGCGGUAAUUC